ensembl:lncRNA
UGGUGGUAUUUAUUUAGAAGCAUGUUAUACUUUCAAACAAAUUUCAAUUGUUUUCAAGGGAAAGUUGGAAAUCCUAUUAAAAUUAGGUUUUCAUUUUUAAAAUCGAAGAAUGCUUUGACUAACUUGAAGACUUGCUUAGUAAUUCACUUUGACAACAAAAUUCACUAAUGGAUAACUUACAGUCAGGAUACAUAGUGAAUAAUGAACUUGGACUGACCAGCAUCUGUUUAGUCUAAGCUCACAGGAAGGUAAACGAGGUUCUGUGCCCUACAAAGGGAAGAACCUAAUUAUAAGUGUGUAGUAAAACCACAUAAGCCAAUUUAUAGUAAUAAGGAAAGUAAACUAAUGACCAAAGCCCUGGUAUUUGGAUGAAAACCACCCGUCUCCAACAUGGAAUUUUUCCAUCAUUGCCACAUACAGCGGGAACAUCUCUUGCAAACUAAGCAGGUACUUCAUAAGGACUGGAUCUUUAGCAGAUCUCUGCCUGGAAUUGGAUGUACAACAAGCCCAUGUUAUGAGGAGUAUCUUGCAGAUAAAGCUCCAGCAAACCCAAUUGGGCAACUUAAGGGCCUUGUUCACACAGUAGGCAGUCCUGGCAAAUGCAUACUGUAUGUGUGGUUUGUAAAAGCAGUUGCAAAUGCACACAAUUCAGCAAAUUGUGAAUAAUGCGUAUGCCUAAGUGUACUGUUCAGAUGUCAGUAGAUUCAGCUAGCCUAGACUGAGCCCAUUCAAGACAAGUAGAUUUUAAAGUCAUCCAUCAACAUCGACAAGUACAGUGGGAUGAAAUAUUGUACUUCAAGGAUCGAGGUGUAACAAAAGACGAAAAUGUGUGCGAUACAUAGGAACACAUAAAAUAAAAAGAAAAUGUGUUAACAUGAAGUUUGAAACAUCACUAUUUAAUUAAAACAUUUUUCCAUAGUUGGUAAAUCUGUUCUAGUGAAAUUCAAUAAAAAAUAAAAAAAAAACCCACACACAAAAAACAGUUCAAACAAGCUUGCUAAACAUACUUCCUGUUGCACCAGUAAAAGUUAUUUCACCCACCUACUAUUCAAAUUUCAUUUUCUAUGUGGUCUAUGAACAUACUGAAAAUAAAUCCUGAUUGUUAUGAUAGUGGCAACAUUUUGUCCUACAAGUCAACAUUAAAACCAUUAUGUCUUACGAGUCAUAUUUUGUCUGAAGUAAUAUUCAUGAAAUCAGCACAUCACUUUACAUACGUCGUUGUGCAAAAGUCUUAGGCACCCGAUUAUUUAUUUACUGUUUUUACUUAAUUUCAGAUGUUUGUAUGUGAAUAAAGGAAGUAUGAUAUUAUAUAAUAGACCCCUUUCCAGGCAAGAAACAUAUUGUAGGGGAUCAGGAUUUACCUACAGAAAGAGGUGUCAAAGUCUCCAAAAAAAAAAAAAAAAAAUUAAAAAAAAUAAAACCCCACACACAGAACAAAAAAAUAACCCUGUGGCAGAUUCUCCAAGAAGCUUAGAAACAUGUACCAGCUCUUUUCCUUAUAAAACUGCACAAAGUGUACCUGAGACUACUGCGUUAUCACACCAAAUACCAACUUCCUUUAUUUCAUGAUUUUUGAUGGCAUCUUUGCUUUACAGCAGUUCUUUACACAUGCUUAAGACUGUUGCACAGUACUGUAUAUUCUACUGUAACAAAAACAUUUUCCCUCUGGAAAACAAAUGUUUCUAUACUCUAUGUACAGUAUCUCCUUUAAGCAACUUGUGAUGGCUAGACUGUGGGAAUAUCAAGCCGGAUGUGUACAUACUUUAAUAGCCACUAGAGGAACCUUUUGGUUCUUCCUCUCGAAAUCACGUCUAGGGUGGAGCGUGCCAGGAGCGUCUGCCAGACACACACACACACACACACACACACACACACACACACACACACACAAGAGUAGCAGAACAGACGGAACUCUUUCUGUGGGAGCUUACUACACUCUACUGGACUCUUGGAGUAUAACAGAAAAAUCACCCUGUUUUCAUACACCCCUAAGUGAGAUCAAUCUGCAAUUGGUUGCAUCAUCAUCAGUCACAGUCUGUAUUUGUACACAAAUAUAUACUUAAGCUUUCUCAGAAAUCAAACCAAAACAUUACAGGAAAUCAGUGUCAAGAUUUUUUUUUUUUUUUUUUGAAACCCCCUGUGUUUAACGAGUGUUUAAGAGUAAGGAAUCCUUGACAAGCCCGAUAAGAAUCUUUACUUCAUCUAAUAAGUGAAUAAUGGUUUCCAUCGCUGGUGCUGCACGAUCUUUGCUCCUCUGCUCAAACACCCCCACAUCGACUGUUAGUAAUCAGAUGAUUAGUUUGGUCAGGUGUGCUGGAGAACAAAAUUUGCAGGGGGCACCAGAGUUCAGAACCACCGUAUUACAGUUUCCCCAUAAUGUAAUUUAAUCUGACAUUUAACCAUAAUAAAGCUCCCUCCCUAAUCCCUGCAGAGUUAAAAAGACUACUAUAUUUGUGUUUCUAUUGUCGCUGUGGGACUGUCAAGACAGCAUUUCAAUCACCUUGACCAAUGACCGACGUGUUUAAUAUCUUAAAUCAACACCACUGCUAAAUGUUAAAUCCCUGGCCUAUAACAAAUCAGAAGUAUUUACCACAAACACAUACAUUUUCCAGUUAAUGAUGCAAAUGAAUCAUGUUUGAGCUCGGGCAGUGCAACGUCUGGAAAGCAUCACACCCUCAAUCCUAUGGAAUUGGUUUAAGAUAGGGUAGCGUUUUGUUUGUACACUAACGUUUGGACGUUCUCAACUGAACUCCCUGUAUAGAAUUAUAAUGUUUUCAAGUGGACAUGAAAAAGUAAAAUAUAAAAUCUGUUUUACUAUUAACUUAAUGCUUGUUGGUCACUAGGGGUGUAACAAUCGGACAAUUUGGAUCGAUGUACCUACUUAAAAGGCAACGGUGGAAAUUAACCAAGGCAUGAAUCAUAAAUUGAUCAUCUAUCCGUUAUAACGGACUACAAAUGAGAACUGUUAUGUAAUAAUAAUCGAGAUUUUUUUGUAAACUGAUGUGUAAAC